rnacentral:rRNA from 1 species
GAUGAACGCUGGCGGCGUGCUUAACACAUGCCAGUCGAACGAAGCACUUUAUUUGAUUUCCUUCGGGACUGAUUAUUUUGUGACUGAGUGGCGGACGGGUGAGUAACGCGUGGGUAACCUGCCUUGUACAGGGGGAUAACAGUUGGAAACGGCUGCUAAUACCGCAUAAGCGCACGGCAUCGCAUGAUGCAGUGUGAAAAACUCCGGUGGUAUAAGAUGGACCCGCGUUGGAUUAGCUAGUUGGUGAGGUAACGGCCCACCAAGGCGACGAUCCAUAGCCGACCUGAGAGGGUGACCGGCAACAUUGGGACUGAGACACGGCCCAAACUCCUACGGGAGGCAGCAGUGGGGAAUAUUGCACAAUGGGCGAAAGCCUGAUGCAGCGACGCCGCGUGAGCGAAGAAGUAUUUCGGUAUGUAAAGCUCUAUCAGCAGGGAAGAUAAUGACGGUACCUGACUAAGAAGCACCGGCUAAAUACGUG